AGACCCGAAACCCGGUGAUCUAGCCAUGGGCAGGUUGAAGGUUGGGUAACACUAACUGGAGGACCGAACCGACUAAUGUUGAAAAAUUAGCGGAUGACCUGUGGCUGGGGGUGAAAGGCCAAUCAAACCGGGAGAUAGCUGGUUCUCCCCGAAAGCUAUUUAGGUAGCGCCUCGUGAAUUCAUCUCCGGGGGUAGAGCACUGUUUCGGCUAGGGGGCCAUCCCGGCUUACCAACCCGAUGCAAACUGCGAAUACCGGAGAAUGUUAUCACGGGAGACACACGGCGGGUGCUAACGUCCGUCGUGAAGAGGGAAACAACCCAGACCGCCAGCUAAGGUCCCAAAGUCAUGGUUAAGUGGGAAACGAUGUGGGAAGGCCCAGACAGCCAGGAUGUUGGCUUAGAAGCAGCCAUCAUUUAAAGAAAGCGUAAUAGCUCACUGGUCGAGUCGGCCUGCGCGGAAGAUGUAACGGGGCUAAACCAUGCACCGAAGCUGCGGCAGCGAACGUAUCACUUAAAGCGAUUCAGCGGGUUACGAUUGACGGAGCGAAGCGACGUCAAAGCGUAUACAAAGUCGAGUCGGUUUAAGGAUACGUUCGUUGGGUAGGGGAGCGUUCUGUAAGCCUGUGAAGGUGGCCUGUGAGGGUUGCUGGAGGUAUCAGAAGUGCGAAUGCUGACAUAAGUAACGAUAAAGCGGGUGAAAAGCCCGCUCGCCGGAAGACCAAGGGUUCCUGUCCAACGUUAAUCGGGGCAGGGUGAGUCGACCCCUAAGGCGAGGCCGAAAGGCGUAGUCGAUGGGAAACGGGUUAAUAUUCCCGUACUUGGUGUUACUGCGAAGGGGGGACGGAGAAGGCUAUGUUGGCCGGGCGACGGUUGUCCCGGUUUAAGCGUGUAGGUGUGUGUUCCAGGUAAAUCCGGUUCACUUUAACACUGAGGCGUGAUGACGAGGCACUACGGUGCUGAAGCAACAAAUGCCCUGCUUCCAGGAAAAGCCUCUAAGCAUCAGGUAACAUCAAAUCGUACCCCAAACCGACACAGGUGGUCAGGUAGAGAAUACCAAGGCGCUUGAGAGAACUCGGGUGAAGGAACUAGGCAAAAUGGUGCCGUAACUUCGGGAGAAGGCACGCU
rnacentral:rRNA from 1 species